UCAACUACAGAUGAUCUGAUGUCUUCCCU
rnacentral:piRNA from 1 species